rnacentral:rRNA from 1 species
AUUGAACGCUGGCGGCAUGCUUUACACAUGCAAGUCGAACGGUAGAGGGGGCAACCCCUUGAGAGUGGCGAACGGGUGAGUAAUGCAUCGGAACGUGCCCAGUCGUGGGGGAUAACGCAGCGAAAGCUGUGCUAAUACCGCAUACGAUCUCUGGAUGAAAGCGGGGGACCGAAAGGCCUUGCGCGAUUGGAGCGGCCGAUGUCAGAUUAGGUAGUUGGUGGGGUAAAGGCUCACCAAGCCAACAAUCUGUAGCUGGUCUGAGAGGACGACCAGCCACACUGGGACUGAGACACGGCCCAGACUCCUACGGGAGGCAGCAGUGGGGAAUUUUGGACAAUGGGCGCAAGCCUGGUCCAGCAAUGCCGCGUGAAGGAAGAAGGCCUUCGGGUUGUAAACUGCUUUUGUACGGAACGAAAAGGCCUGGGUUAAUACCCUGGGCACAUGACGGUACCGUAAGAAUAAGCACCGGCUAACUACGUGCCAGCAGCCGCAGUAA